UACGUAGGGUGCAAGCGUUGUCCGGAAUUAUUGGGCGUAAAGAGCUCGUAGGCGGUUUGUCACGUCUGCUGUGAAAACUCGGGGCUUAACUCCGGGCCUGCAGUGGGUACGGGCAGACUAGAGUGCGGUAGGGGAGACUGGAGUUCCUGGUGUAGCGGUGAAAUGCGCAGAUAUCAGGAGGAACACCGGUGGCGAAGGCGGGUCUCUGGGCCGUAACUGACGCUGAGGAGCGAAAGCGUGGGGAGCAAACAGG
rnacentral:rRNA from 1 species